AUUGAACGCUGGCGGCAGGCCUAACACAUGCAAGUCGAACGGUAACAGGAAGAAGCUUGCUUCUUUGCUGACGAGUGGCGGACGGGUGAGUCAUGUCUGGGAAACUGCCUGAUGGCGGGGGAUAACUACUGGAAACGGUAGCUAAUACCGCAUAACGUCGCAAGCCCAAAAUGGGGGACCUUAGGGCCUCUUGCCAUUGGCUGUUCCCAGAUGGGAUUAGCUAGUAGGUGGGGUAACGGCUCACCUAGGCGACGAUCCCUAGCUGGUCUGAGAGGAUGACCGGCCACACUGGAACUGAGACACGGUCCAGACUCCUACGGGAGGCAGCAGUAGGGAAUAUUGCACAAUGGGCGCAAGCCUGAUGGAGCCACGCCGCGUGUAUGAAGAAGGCCUUCGGGUUGUAAAGUACUGUCAGCGGGGAGGAAGGAAGUAAAAUUAAUACCUGUGCUCAUUGACGUUACCCGAAGAAGAAGCACCGGCUAACUCCGUG
rnacentral:rRNA from 1 species